UACGUAGGGUCCGAGCGUUGUCCGGAAUUAUUGGGCGUAAAGGGCUCGUAGGCGGUCCGUCGCGUCGGGAGUGAAAACUCAGGGCUCAACCCUGAGCGUGCUUCCGAUACGGGCGGACUAGAGGUAUGCAGGGGAGAACGGAAUUCCUGGUGUAGCGGUGGAAUGCGCAGAUAUCAGGAGGAACACCGGUGGCGAAGGCGGUUCUCUGGGCAUUACCUGACGCUGAGGAGCGAAAGCAUGGGGAGCGAACAGG
rnacentral:rRNA from 1 species